rnacentral:tRNA from 1 species
GCCCCGGUAGACCAACAUGGUAGGAGUCAUCUGCCUUAGAAGCAGAGCAGCGUCAGUUCGAAUCUGACCCGGGGUACCA